UUAUGGCGCUUAAUGAGAUGC
rnacentral:misc_RNA from 1 species